GCGCCGGGCCCAUGCGCUGGGUUUCCUGUAUAUAUCGCGUAUCGGAGCGCUCGGAAGGAAAACAAACACAUUUCCCAAAGAAAAACAUAAAAA